rnacentral:rRNA from 1 species
UACGUAGGGUGCAAGCGUUGUCCGGAAUUAUUGGGCGUAAAGAGCUCGUAGGCGGUCUGUCGCGUCGGCUGUGAAAACCCGGAGCUCAACUCCGGGCCUGCAGUCGAUACGGGCAAACUGGAGUACUGCAGGGGAGACUGGAAUUCCUGGUGUAGCGGUGAAAUGCGCAGAUAUCAGGAGGAACACCGGUGGCGAAGGCGGGUCUCUGGGCCGUAACUGACGCUGGAGGAGCGAAAGCGUGGGGAGCGAACAGG